ACAAUUUUGACGUCCGCAAGGACGCACACUCUCUCUACCUUUCUCUCUCUAAACAUUCUCUCUCUCUGUCUCUCUCUGGAUACAGCAGAGAACAGGGCACACAGCUCAUAUAGUGAGGGAGAAAACAACAGCCAAAAUAAAAAAAAGGCGAACUUAAAAAAGAAGCUGGAUUUUUGGCGAACUCAGCAAACAAAAACCCUAGAAGAUUCAUGCGACGACCAUUAAGAGAUAGCUGGGUGUGUGAAGAUAGAGCGAUUCUAGAAUGUUCAGAAUCAAGACUUGUUCCUAUGCUUUUGUUUACUUUGGUCUGUGGCUUGUGCUUGCUAAAACGCAACACCAUCUGCUCAGGCACAGAACCUAUUCAUUCCGUUUGGUCCACAAUAAGGACUUUGAAGUCAGCAGCCUUAGAUGUGGACUUGAAAUGCUAAGUAGGUGCAGCCUUAUGUGUCCUUUAUUCCGUUUGGUUAUGUAAUUCUAG
rnacentral:misc_RNA from 1 species